ACACAGAUUAAAUAUAGUGGAGCUGGACAUUUUCUGCAAGCAUCACUGUCCGAUGAUACAACCAGGUGCAUGCACGGUCUACAGACAGGAAAAGAUGCUGGUAUUAACCAAGUUAAUGCUAAUACCACUGAGGAAGGGAAGAAUAUGGUGUGUUUACAGCAUGCUGCCUUGUGCUGCACAAUGACACAGACAGAGGGCCAGACAGGCAAUGAAUACAGCAGGCUCUGAAGGCUGUUCUGUUUUGUAGUGCAAUGUUUUGCAGCAGCACUCGCCAGGAGGUCUAGGUCCAUCUGCCUCAAAAAGAAGGAUUUUGGUCAAGAUCUACGUAUAUGACAUGAACUUCAAGAAUUUCUUCACGCAGUCUUCUUUCAUGUAAUCCUUGUUGGUGUAUACCCUUCUUGUUUCGGACUUGUUGAAUUUUUUUUAAUAUUUUGCAGCAUGGCAUUCUCUUGCACUUAUAUGUUUUUUCUUUUCUCUUGUUCAUCACCUCUCCUUUCUCUUCUCUCCUUCCUUUGCUAUUUCAUUUUUAGACUAAGUAUGCUUUGUAAUAUUGGACUUGCUGUGCUUUGUAGUCCUUUUUGGACACAGUUUUACUUCAGCUGUGUUAUUUUUUCUAUAAUGUUUGUGCAUAUUAUAUCCUACUAACUCCUAUUCUGACGUGAAGGGUCACCCAUGUUUUUCUUGCUGUUCUGUCCUCCAUCUGGGUGGAAGUCCUUCAUUUUUUAUGUAUUAAUGUA